UCGCCAGUGAGAAUCUACUGUAAGUGUGAGUUGCUUAGACGAAGUCACACACCCACGGAGGGAAGUAAUCUGGAGGCUGCCGUGGUGAGUGUUGCCUAGCGGUCUCCGGGAAAAGCGCGUCUUCCUCCUCGGAUAAUUAGGGCGAAGAAUCCUCCCGAGGACAGCCAGGGGGAACGGGGUUCCCGGGAGGCGGAAGGGAAAUCAGCCCCAGCUCAGCCAGCAGCCCUUAGAGAAGCUGGUCCUUGGCUUUGGCAUAUGUAUUGCCUGCUGCCCAUCACAGGCUUGUGGCAUCAACAACCUUGUCGUCACAUAGCCACGCAUUCGCAGGCUCUGCGAGUCCGUGGCUAGUUUCUUAACCACCCAUAUUGCUCACUGCUGCUGACCCUUCCUCUUCUUCCAAGACUUUGGCGGCUGGAAUGGGAUAGUCAACAUUUUCUUCAGAAGUAAAUGUAGAAUUUCUAAAUAUAGAGAUGGUAGCUAUGAGUGAGGUUUCAGGGAGUCAAAGAACUUAGCUUAUGGAGGUCUGUAGCGUGCCAGGUACUUUAAGAUGUGAUGAUUUAAGUCAUUAAUAGGGUGUUUUAGUGUUUUAGAAAUUAUAUGAUACGCAGAUCCACGCAAUUAAUUCUGGUGAAAUUAGCACGGGUCAAAUAAUUUCGGUUUUUUAAAAAAUAAUUUUAAUUUUUUGUGUUCUGCACUGAGAGACAAAUAACUAAGAAAAAACAGUUUAAAACAAUUAAUUUUCUAUGCUUCACCACUUUUAUGUCUUCUCCUGCUUUUAAAUUUUUCUUCAGUUUUCCACUCGUUCUUUCAAAAAGAUACGUGUGAAGGGCAAUUUUAGUAUACUGACUAAAAAAAGAAGGCUGCAAAGUAAGUAUGAACCAAAACAUGUGAUUUUAAAAGAAAGGCAUCUUGUUUAAUUUGGUGUAUAGUAACUCCUGUCAAGACUGGGCUUGCAUUCACAUCUAAUAAAGGCGAGUCUGCUCACCAGCUUUGACAUCUAGAGUGCUGUUUGUCUUCACAAUAAAUUUCUCCUGAUCUUUAGCUGAUGACAUUUGUUUUUUGCUUAAAUAUUUGCAAAAAAAGAUGAAAGAAUAAAGCUGCAGUGAUGUAAUUUGUAAAGAGGUGGAAGCUCAUCUUUGAUUUUUUUUUUUUCGUGAAAUGUUUUGGCACCAGAAAUCUAAAAGCAGCUUCUUUCUAUUACAAUGUGCUCCAAAUGCAUGAAGCAAAUUUAGAAGAAUGGCAGUGAAUCAGUCUUCCAGUUUGGCAAAAAGCCUCACAGUGAGACACAAAAUUAAAAUGUACGUGUCUAUUUGAAGACCAUUCCAAAUGUAAACUCCUCCUCCCAAAUUUAUAGUUAAGUUACUUAAAAAUAUCUAAACAGAAUGUCAACUAAGCUAUCUAACGCCUAGGAAUACAUAAUAGUGCUCAUGUGAGACGUACGCAGUUUAAUGUGGCUUUGAGCUGUUUCCCUCACUGCUGUGGGCCUCAGUAUCCUCAUCAGUGAAAUGAGGGAUUUGAAGAUGACUUCAAGCUUCCUUAUCUUCCAUAUCCUCUGCCUUCUAUGUUACUACCUUGUUCAUCUAUUUCCAACUAUUUACCAUUUACUACCAAAUUACCAAAUUUCUGCAGCCUAGAAUUUAAAGCUUUCAACUGCAAAGGGCUUAAACAAAUUUUUCUAUUUUACACUAAAAUUUUAAAUUCCAUGUCCCCUAAAUUGUCUCGUACCUCUCUAUUGUUACGUCUGUCACUCCGUUCUACAGAAGUUCCACCCCCAAAGAUAUGUAACACCCUCUCCCCCCCCACACACAUUGCUUUCAUCUAAAUCCUACCCAGUGUUCAAGGAGAGUCAGCCAUUUAAAGCUGAUUUUUUCUUUUCUCAAAAAGAAGUGAUUUGGUUCUCUUUCUCAAAGUAUCCAUAGCUUGUGAUUUGUUGUCAAUCAACACAAUUUGCAAUAUUUUCUUAAUGAAAAACUGGAGCAAAUUAUCUAAAAACUUUAAGUAUAUAUAUUAGGAUAAAGAAACAGAAUAUAAACUAAGUAUGUCAAAGGAAACCUGGUCAAAGAGACCCUGGUCACUAUGGUGGGUAAUUGUGUGAUUUCCCUCCGAAGAUAGUGAACUCGUUAAGUGACUAAGAAUACAGAAUGCAAAAUCCUUUGUAUUCUGCACCUUAAAUAGCAGCCAUUUUUCUCAUGGUUGUUUUAUAAUAUUUAUUACAUAUCUUUGAAAGAAUGAAAAGCUGUAAAAUGAAGCCCAGUGACAGCAACGAAAGUCAUUUUUUUUUAAUCUAAUGAGGCUUAAUCAGAGAAGACAAUGACAGUGGUUUGGUUUGGGCCUCAAUCUCAAAGGAGAUCUUUUAUUUGGCCAUGUGCUCAUUUCUUGGCAAUUAAAUACUUUUAGCAUACUUAGACUGAACCAUAGCAUUGCAUGAAAGGUAGAUUUGUCUUUUUCCUUUAUACUUCCUGCUUUGCACAAGAAAAGGCUACAACAUCAGUACUGGUUUGGAUGUGCUAUUGUUUGCGUUUCUCAUUGUUAAGGAUCACUGCUAUGGCCUCAAGAGGUGAAAGUGGCUGCUGUCUUCCUAGAUCUCUGCUUGGAUCUGACUUUCCUACUAAGCUUUUGGGAAGAAAAGAUAUUCAGAAUCACCUUGAUAAGACAUCUUGAAAGUUUACUACCCUAUAAAAGAUAAAGCUGCUAUGAACAUUCAUGUGGAAGUUCCUAUGUGAAAAUAAGUUUCAUAUCUUUGGAGUAAAUGCCCAAAAGUGCAAUUGUUGGACACUAUGAUUCAGCAAGAGGAUGAAUAUUGUCGCCCUUCCCCUCUCCAAAGUGGAAAGUGGUGCUCCUUUGACAACAGAUUUCUCAGUAAGCCGUUCAUUUACUUUACUGUUAAAUUUCUAUAGUGCUCUUUCUCUAAGGAGUUCAUGAUUUUUUCUUUUCAGUUUUUUUUCUGUGCAAUAAUAAAUGUAGGAAGACAGUGAAACAAAGUCAGUAGAGGUUUAAUAGAAAAAUGAUUGCAAUUCAAAACUGUUAUGCCCAGCAAAGACAUUGUUCAUGUAUGAAGGAAACAUUCAGAGCCCUGUAUAACUUCAAUAGAAUAACACCCAAAUAUAUUUUCCUCAAAAUUUUCUGGAAGAAAUUUCUUAUAUCACCAAGAGAUGAACAAUAUAUGAGCUAAGGAAUGACUGGAAACAUUCAACAGCUAAAAAUUAAGAUAAAUGUAUAAAAGCACAAAAGUCUAUGGAAAAGGGUAGGAUGUUAAUGCAUGUAAAAAACUAUCAUAAUUAUAACCUGAAAAUAAAAUGUUUGUCUAAAAAAAUUUUGAAAGAUAAAUUUAUUUAUUUAGAUACGGAGUUUGUAACCUCAAGAUAAAUUAAAUAUGAGCUGGGAAAAGUGCUACUUUUAUGUAAGUAGUAAUGUAAGGAAAAUGAGUAAAGAAGUCUAAAAAUAAACAGUUUAAUUUUAAUAUUAAUAUAAUUCUAGUUUUUUUAAACAAAUGUCAAAAUCUUUAAGUAGUUGAAAUGAGCACCUUCAUUUUAAAAUCAAUACACAAAGAAAUGUCAGUAAAACAAAAAGGAACCCCCAAAAAGCAUAAAAUACAGUUAUGCGUUGGACCAAAGAUAAUGUCAAAGAAAUAAACAGGAGCAGCUUAAAUUCCUUGAUUAAAAGUUAAGAUACUUAAACUGAAUAACAGGGAAAACUGUUUAGUAUCGUUGGUUCAUGGAUGAUCUCUUGUAGAAAAUACCCUUUCAAGUAAAACCUGAGGGAUAAGAAAGCUUGAGAAUGAUUUAGAUAUUUGAAAUGAUGGAGAGAAAAUACAAGACGAUGUUAGCAAUGGGAUGGAAUGUAAGUUCCUUUUGACUUCUCUGCCUGCAGAAUUCCUUCUCUGUCUAUAAUGAUCUAUUCAAAUAUCACUUCUUAUUCAAGUAUUUACCAAUAGGUUGUAAACUUGAAGAAUGAAUGACUGUAUCCUCUUUCAUUUUAUAAUACUUCCAAAGUAGCAUUUAGACUUGGUGAUACUAAUGACUCUUUCCUGUCCUAUAUGAUAUCUUGUGGUAGAAAAUAUGCACUAGUAGUUUGUGUUGCCAAUGUCUAGAAUAAUUUGAGAUGUGUAUAUAUUCAAACCAUGUUUAUGAAUUGAGUUAAAUAGAUUUUUUUCAUGUUAUCAGCCUCCUUAUUUGUAGGUAAAAACUUUUCAUAAAUGAUCAUACUUUGUGAUUUUGUAAUAGCUACUUUUAGAAUUGUCUAAUUCACACAUCCUUGAAUAUGUUAGGAGUGUUUUCAAACUCUAAGAUCAUGAUAUAUUUACUUUCAAAAUGCUGAAAAUAAAAAUGCUAAUUUUUAAGUAUCCUUGCAUUUAGAAGACAUACAGAUUUUCAGUCCAGUAACACCCAAAAUACGUGAAAAUAAUAUGGAUUUUAUAAAUAAAUACAUGAUGCAUUUUUCCCCUACUUUUUACUUUUUCCCAUUUGCUCACUGAACAGUCUUUAAUGGGUUAUAUUUUGGAAUAAUAGCAAAACUGGGAAAGACACAAUUUGAGGUGAACUGCUUUAAAUGUUUUUAGAAUUACCUUAAGGAAAUCAUAGAAGUCACUAUGAUAUCAAGGAUUAAAUCUAGAUUGAUACUUGGACCUGGGUUUAUGUUGGACUUUCAUUUUUUGAGUCAAGUAUGUUUUUCCCUCUAGCUUAAUGAAAAAUUUUUGAUGGUAUAUUGGCUAUCAUAUUUGAAUAGAAGUCUAAAUUAAAAAGAGAAAAAGAAAAAAAACACAUCUUGUUUUAGUUAUGAGUAACUGAAAUCAGUUUCACUGUUUUAUUUAAAGAAAAAACAAUUAACUUUUAGUUAAUAACAUAUUUUAGAACGACAUGCAUUAAAUUCUAAUGAAACUGCGUGCACAUGUAUAAUUGCUAUUCAAAUUCACACACAACUACUGGUAAAACUGCUAUAAUUGUGUUUGCAAGUGUGGCUGAAAAAGCUUAAUGCCUCUUUCACAAUUUUUACAAUUCUUUCCUAUAGUCAUUUCUAGAACUAGAUUUUUCAUUGUUUUCAAGACAGUUUCAGCUUCAACCUUAUCUCCAGUCUGUUUGUAUAUGCCUUAGCUUGAGAAUUGCUAAUAGGGACAGAAACUUCAUUUACUCAUUCAGUCUUUUUUUUCAGGUGUUUGGUGUUCUAAGUUGUGUGAAUUUUGCUUUGAGUUGUAGAGCACUUUCUUUGUGGUCUUCGUGUCUGGAUUGCUGUUCUCAGCUCUGAAAUGAGGAACUCAGUUGGAACACAUUUCAGUUACCCAUUGAUUAUAUUAAAGCACAGUGGUAUUUCAAGUUAUGCAUCUUCUAGAAAUGAAGUAUCUAACUGGGUCAGUUGUGAAAUGAAAAUAUUAAUUGUUCCAUGUUUGUUAACCUGAAGCAUAUACACUAAUGGUAACGUUAUCGCUAAAUUGAACUCCUGCCCAGAGCUAUGCAACAUAGACACAGAAAAUCUUAAAUGCAAACUCUGAAUCUGUGAAGGAAUUCAUGAAUAUUGCUAUGGCAAACUUGUAAAAAUGGCAAAGAUUUGUUUGUUUCUGCAGGGGCCUUUGCUUCUCUGUGGUAGGGACACUAGCUUGAGACAAAGAUGUGUUCAGUUUAUGGCUCAAAUAUUUUGGAAGUUCUAUUGGAAUUUACAUUGACUAAAAAUGUUGCUGGGAAAUGACUCAUCCUGAAAGAAAAUUGUGUCUAAUUACAUACGUUUUCCAAUCUUUAUAUUGUGUGUUCAAAAAAACUCAUUGUAUUUAUUUACAUAUAAAUUAUUUGAAAAUCAUAUCAUUUACACUAUUUACAUGUGUAGAGUGGCAUAAUUAUAUUGUCAUUAGCAUCGUUGAUAAUACACUGUCCCAAAACCUCACAGCUUCUUCUACAUUUGCCAUUUAGUGCAAAUUAUAGAGAGGAAAUAAUAGUGACAAAAUUUCUAGAUAGACAGCUACUGUUUUUUCUAUCAUAUACAAAAGUUAACACUAGCACUUUCUCUAGACCAGUGGUCACCAAAGUUUUUUGAUAACCCAUCCCAUCAUGAAAAUAUUUUUGGACAAAUAUCCCAAAACAUGUUUAAUUAUUUAUAAAUUAUGUACACCUAAUUCUUUACUAAUGUAUUAUGUACAUUGUAAACCAUCACAAAAUACAAAGGUGCUAACAAUGAUUAAAACAUUUUAAAGAUUUUAUUAAUUACAUAUGAACACUUAUACUUCAAAUUGUCUCUCUGAUGAUUUAGAAACCUUUUGCUGAUCCCUUGUCAUGUCAGUUUAGAUCAUUACUUUUUUUGUCUUUCAAGUGUGGCUUACCAAAAGAUUGAACUUGAUUGAUAAGUAUCAGUUCUGCCAUUUUCUGAUGUUUGCUCAUGUGUGGAUUAUUAAUCAUAUAUUAUCUUUAAUACAUGUUUAUUUGGCAGAAGUCUUUGUAGGCCUCUUGUCUAUUUUGUGAGUAUUUUAUUCAUUAAAACUGUAAAAUACAUAGUGUGGAAGUCCACUCAACUAUACACAGUAAACUUCAAUAAGUCAUAAUAUUCUGAGGCAAAUAAGAGAUUGUGUGAUGCUGUCAAUCUCUCCAGGAUGUGGAACUUCUACCCUUUACACAGGACACACUGCAUGCCAUCUGUGAUAUGUGAGCCCCCCAAAAGAGACUACAUCAUGAAUCAGUGCCAGUCAGCAUAUUCAAACUCUCCAGGGGAUCGUCCCCAGGUUGCAGACAGCAUCCUUAGACCAGUUGUCUUCCGAGUAGGGUGUGUAUAGCCCAGGCUAUAAGACAUAAGCACAGAUGGUUUUAAGGAAAUUAAUUUCCUGAGCCUCUCUUCCAUAUGGAUUCUUUCAUAUGACUGAGAAAGUUCCUGAGUCGAGGAGAUUUUUUUCGUACAUCUCCUUUUUCUAGUACAUUUAUCUACACUUAAUGGUAGAAGGAACACUUCUCAUCCAUCCUAAGGCUAAUUACAGUAUAUUGUUCCAGGAUGUAGAAUUCUCCGGGGUUUUACACACACACACACACACACACACACUCACACUCACACUCACGCUCACACAUACACACAGAGGAUAAACUAGAUAUUCAUGCUGGAGUUGAGAAAAUGAAUGACUCUAAUGACUAGAGAACAAAUGCUUUUUCAGGUUGUUUCCAAUUCAUACUUUUCAACAGAAUUGAAGGAGAACCAAAUUUAGUCGUCAGAUGACAGGUUAUUAAAUAUAUUUUAAUGGGAAAUCAGCAUGUUAUUUUUAGCACAAAACUCAGAAAGGGUUUAAAGAACUGAGUUAUAUGUUUUUAAUGAGUCUGUUCAAAUCUAUUUACUUAUAUGAACAUAGUUUCUUCACGCUCAGACCUAUUUCUUUAAUAACUAAAGGAAUAGAAUGGAUGUAGAACUCUGCAUUCUUCUCACAAUAAAUAAUGUUUAUCCAUGGAUACAUGAUAGAAGAACUUUGAUCCCUUGUUUGUUAUAUUUAUAUAUAAUAUUAAAGAUAUGUCAAUCUAAAAUAUUUUUUUUAACAUUUGCUGUCUUACGCUCACAGGCAUUUUAAAAAAUGAUUUUAAAUUUAAACACCUUAUUGUAGAGAAAUAAAGAUUUUCAACAAAAGACUUGUGUAUUCUAUACAUUUGAAUAAAAUUCCGUGGAGGAAUUGGGAUUGAAUUGAUCUAAAGAAGUACAAACCAAGCAAUUUUAAGCUUUUUCAUGUAUUUCUUUUAAAAUAGUGAUGUUAUAUAUCAAAUCAUUAUGAUAUUUGGAUCUCAUUGGAUGUAAAUGAAAGAAUGACAUAACGUGUCCAUUUUAAAAUGCUGAUAUUCAAGGAGGCAAAAUUUCAAAUAUUUUUGCUGUUUUGAACUGCUACAAUUUAAUUGUCAAACUGAAAACUUUCUUGAAAAUACUUGUUUUUUCUAAAUUCUUGUAGGGGAUAUAUGAGGAAAAAAAUACUUUUGAAAACCACUGCUUUAGACGAGAACUAUCGUUAUAGCGUGGGCCUAUAUCAGAAGUUAUUAUUUUUGAACAAUAAGAUCCAGUCAAAUUUUAGCCACGAGAUAGUAGUGUCCUGGUAGGAAAAAGAGAGAAAAUAAAUAUGAAGGAAUGAUAGAAGGUUUUUAGAUCUGAUGUAAAACUAACAGUUCUUUCACACAUAUGUAUUUAAUUACUGGCACACCUGAAGGCUAUCAGCAAUAAUGCUGUGAAGUGCCUCAGAUCAGAAGAAUUGCUACCUAAAGGAUCAUGUGUUUGAGGAUAGUCUUCUAUGUCAAAAUAAAUUUUCUAAUAAAAUUGUUUUAUUAUAAUUAUUACUACUACUACUACACAGAUAUUUAAGGUGUAGAAAAAUCGACCAUCUUUUCAUGAGUCAUUAUAAGUCACACUCCAUAGAUCAAAUUUGUAAGGCCGUAUGUGAUUUUAACAUCCAUUCUAGAUAUACUGUCAACUAUUAGAUUAUCUUUAAAUGAUAUUAUUUUAUAUUUUAAAAUCUUACUUUCAUUUUUGCUUCCAAAUAGUUCCAAGUACCAAAUUGCCGUUUUCGUAACACCUCUGCCUUAAAUUAAGAGGAAAACUCAUUUUAAGCUCUCUUUGUUUCUAAUUGGUAAGAAAAAAAGUUUUUCAAUAAAUAAAAAUCACACAGAUGUGUACACAUAUUGCAUUGUAGAAUGAGAACAUAAUGAACCAGCAUUAUUCACUUAGGAAACACGGAAAAAAUAAAAGAUAAAAAAUAAUCCCAUUAUUGAAAUGCCGUGGUCAUCACUGAUGUACUGUAGGAGAGGGUAGGAAACUAGAAAAUACGAAAUUCAAUUCAAAAGGUAAUAUUUCAAUAAAAGAGAGAACAUUUUUUUAUGAAGAAUUUCCCCUAAUGAUGUUUACCCAAAAGCUUUUUGAUGAUGACAAUUUUUAUAUUUACUUGAAUAGAAAUAUUAAAAUAAGAGACCAUCUAUGACAUUGGAUGUUUUAUGUUUCCUUUGUGGUAUUUAUUUUAUAUAUUCUAUUAUUCCUUUUAAUACAUAUAUUCUUUUUGAUUUCACUUCCUUUGUGCUACCUACUCAUAUCUAACAUGUGUGUAUCUCUGACUGUGUUUUCUCUGUUUUGCUUUUCUUCCUGGUCAAACAACUGGACUGUAUUUUCCAGGCUCUUUUUCAGUGACAUGUGGCCUCUUGACUUAGAUCCAGCUCAUUGAGGAUGAAGUAAUGAGCUCUCCUUCCUGGAAUAGACAAUAGAUACUCUCCAAUGCCUAGGUUUUGCUCUUCCCAUCAGUUGACUGAAUGGAGAGGAAUUCAAGGACUCAGAAGGAAGCAAAGCCACGAUCUGGAAGGUUUCUGGGGGUGUGGAUGACUGUAUAGAGCAAGACCCAUAGGAGGGUCUUCUCCUCUGUGAUGUAAGCAAAAAUAAAAUAACUGUGUAAAACCAGUGA